UAGGGAAUCUUCGGCAAUGGACGGAAGUCUGACCGAGCAACGCCGCGUGAGUGAAGAAGGUUUUCGGAUCGUAAAGCUCUGUUGUAAGAGAAGAACGAGUGUGAGAGUGGAAAGUUCACACUGUGACGGUAACUUACCAGAAAGGGACGGCUAACUACGUGCCAGCAGCCGCGGUAAUACGUAGGUCCCGAGCGUUAUCCGGAUUUAUUGGGCGUAAAGCGAGCGCAGGCGGUUAGAUAAGUCUGAAGUUAAAGGCUGUGGCUUAACCAUAGUACGCUUUGGAAACUGUUUAACUUGAGUGCAGAAGGGGAGAGUGGAAUUCCAUGUGUAGCGGUGAAAUGCGUAGAUAUAUGGAGGAACACGGGUGGCGAAAGCGGCUCUCUGGUCUGUAACUGACGCUGAGGCUCGAAAGCGUGGGGAGCAAACAGGAUUAGAUACCCUGGUAGUCCACGCCGUAAACGAUGAGUGCUAGGUGUUGGGUCCUUUCCGGGACUCAGUGCCGCAGCUAACGCAUUAAGCACUCCGCCUGGGGAGUACGACCGCAAGGUUG
rnacentral:rRNA from 1 species